rnacentral:tRNA from 1 species
AAGAAAUUAGUUAAACUAAUAACAUGAAAUUGUCAAUUUUAAAUUAUAUAAUAUUAUAUAUUUCUUU